CUUUAUUGGAGAGUUUGAUCCUGGCUCAGGAUGAACGCUGGCGGCGUGCCUAAUACAUGCAAGUCGAGCGAAUGGAUUGAGAGCUUGCUCUCGAGAAGUUAGCGGCGGACGGGUGAGUAACACGUGGGUAACCUGCCCAUAAGACUGGGAUAACUCCGGGAAACCGGGGCUA
rnacentral:rRNA from 1 species